AUUGAACGCUGGCGGUAUGCUUAACACAUGCAAGUCGAACGGUAACAGGCCUUCGGGCGCUGACGAGUGGCGGACGGUGAGUAACGCGUAGGAAUCUGCCUCAUAGUGGGGGACAACGUGGGGAAACUCACGCUAAUACCGCAUACGCCCUACGGGGGAAAGCGGGGGAUCUUCGGACCUCGCGCUAUGAGAUGAGCCUGCGUUAGAUUAGCUAGUUGGUAGGGUAAAGGCCUACCAAGGUGACGAUCUAUAGCUGGUCUGAGAGGACGAUCAGCCACACUGGGACUGAGACACGGCCCAGACUCCUACGGGAGGCAGCAGUGGGGAAUAUUGGACAAUGGGCGCAAGCCUGAUCCAGCAAUACCGCGUGUGUGAAGAAGGCCCUAGGGUUGUAAAGCACUUUCAAUUGGGAGGAAAACCUGCCGGUCAAUACCCGGCAGCUUGAC
rnacentral:rRNA from 1 species